rnacentral:tmRNA from 1 species
GGGGGCGUACUGGCAUCGACGUGGGUCACGAAGUCCAAGAGGCAUGCCGAGGCGCAGCGCACCUCGUAAAUCCAGCUGCAAGCAAGAUAGUUGCCGACAACGACAACUACGCACUGGCUGCGUAAAUCAAGGCCAGCUCCCGGUACGAGGCGUGCUUGCGCGUCCGAAUCGGGGGGCAUCUUUCGCAAGCUCGCGGCGCGGCCCGUCCCCGGCCAACCCGUUAAAAACUUUGGGGAAUCGCCGUCAGGCCACCUGCCACUCGGUGGCGGACGGUUAAAAUAUAGAGCCGGCUAAGCAUGUAGAUUCGAGGAUGGAGGUCUCGCGGACGCGGGUUCGAUUCCCGCCGCCUCCACCA